rnacentral:lncRNA from 1 species
AUGCAUGUUACAGCAAGCGGCGAGUGUGCCAUUAUAGGGUGUGUCACAGAAUUGAUGGCUGCCAGUGAAGAAAAGGAUAUUCUUCCAACCUUCUCUGCUUUCGGUACCAGGUUUGUAUUACAUUACAAAAGAGCACCUAUCAGCAAGCAAAGAAUAGCAUUCAUUGCUUUACAAGUAGAAAAAUAUUUGAUUGUUUGACUGGAUGUUUGUCAGUAAAAGAAUAGCUGAUUUUUAUCUUGCAGAGCAGCAUAACUGGAAAGGCAAUCAGGGAUCAGACAUCCAGAUCCCAGAGCCAAAGACUGGGCUAGCUGUGCUGUGACACUCCUGAUAUCUUGAUAAAUGACACUCUUUUGCAGUGGGUGUGAAGAAUGUCAACUGGAAGGAUGUCGUUAAUGAUGACAUUAUUCCCAUUAUGUAGAUUCUGCUUUUCUUUAGCAAUGCUUAGAAACUUGUUUCUCAUGCUCUGUUACUUUGUGGUAUCAUCACUGACAUCUGUUCUUUUUAGACUUCAACAGUCUUGCCAGAUCUACAGUCCACCAGGAACACUAUUUUUUUUUUAAAUAUGUAUUUUUUACAUACAUACAUAAAUAUAUUUUUUCCCCUAAAAAUACUGUUUCAGCAAAGAGUUAGCAGUGUAGUGAUUUUUGGCUAUUUUUUUAGUGAGGUGGUUUGUUAGCUUGAAACUGAACAUUAUUUAAACAGGAAGUAUCUUGAAAUGUUACAAUGCCAGCUUCAGUUUCUGGAUUGAAGAACCCAUUAGAGAUGACAUAAGAAUUAUAAAGAUUUUUCCCCAAGUAUUUCUGUUCAUCUCACAGCAUAUACGUACAUACCAGAAGACAAUGUAAUGUGUUCCCUGCUACUUUUCAGUGAACUUAGGUAUGAGACGUUCUAGUUUAAUUGACAGCUGCCCAGCCGCAGCUGUAUAUUCCUUGGUGUCAGGAUAUCUUUUUUUCCACACAGAGUUCCCUAAUGUCCUGGCUACACGGCUAGGAGGAUCUGAAGGGGUUUGCACAUCCCUUCAUUGAAGUAAACUUUUCAAUGCAUGUGACUUCAGUAAAGACAUACUCUUAGCUCACUGUUGGCUAAUGGUACCUGUGUGUGCUGAAACAAAUCUUAAGACAGCAAAGUGA